UUCGCAAUGCCCGAAAGGGUGACGAAGCGACGCCGCGUGUGGGAAGAAGGCCUUCGGGUUGUAAACCACUGUUGGGAGUUAAGAAAUGUAGAGGUGUUAAUAGCGCCUUUACUUGACUAAGGCUCCGGAGGAAGCCACGGCUAACUCUGUGCCAGCAGCCGCGGUAAUACGGAGGUGGCAGGCGUUACUCGGAUUGAUUGGGUGUAAAGGGUGUGUAGGUGGCGAGUUAAGUCGAAUGUGAAAGCCCAUGGCUCAACCAUGGAAUUGCAUUCGAAACUGGCUUGCUUGAGCGACUGAGAGGUAGACGGAAUUCCCGGUGUAACAGUGAAAUGUGUAGAUAUCGGGAGGAACACCAGUGGCGAAAGCGAGGUCCUGGACGUCUGCUGACGCUGAGACGCGAAAGCUAGGGGAGCAAACGGGAUUAGAUACCCCGGUAGUCCUAGCCGUAAACGAUGGGCACUAAGUAGAGGGGUUUU
rnacentral:rRNA from 1 species